CACUAAGUCACUUUGUCUUUAUGGCAAAUGUGAGAUGCAGUGUAUGGAAUGUCAAAUUUCUAGUAUGAGAAAUUAACGAUUUAAGUCCUUCUUAAAUGAGGCCAUUUACCCAAAGAGGGUGCCAGGCCCGUAUAACGUUAAUGAUUACUAGAUGGCAUUUCCAAAGAGUCGUGUUGCUUGAUAGUGCAGCACUAAGUGGGUGGUAAACUCCAUCUAAAACUAAAUAUAACCAUGAGACCGAUAGUAAACAAGUACCGUGAGGGAAAGUUGAAAAGAACUCUGAAUAGAGAGUUAAAUAGUACGUGAAACUGCUUAGAGGUUAAGCCCGAUGAACCUGAAUAUCCGUUAUGGAAAAUUCAUCAUUAUGAUUUUAAUAUUUAUAAUAUUAUAAUAAUGGUGUGCAUUUUUUCUAUAAAGGACAUUGUAAUCUAUUAACUUUACAUUAUUUAUCAUAAGAUCAUUAGAUUAUGUUUAUUCAAAUUAUUUUGCUUGCAAUUUAAUAUCGAAUAAAUUCUUUUGAUUUGAUAAAGCGUUGAUAGAUUUAUUAUAUACAGUGCUUAAAUAUUUAUAUUUUAUAAUAUCAUAUUAAUCAAUGAUUUUUAUGUUCAUUAUAUGCACUUGUAUGAUUAACAAUGCGAAAGAUUCAGGAUACCUUCGGGACCCGUCUUGAAACACGGACCAAGGAGUCUAACAUAUUUGCAAGUUAUUGGGAAUAAAAACCUAAUAGCGAAAUUAACAUAACUUUAAUGGGAUUAGUUUUUAGCCUAUUUAUAGUCUAUUAAUUCAAUCCCGGGGCGUUCUAUACAGUUAUGUAUAAUAAUAUUUAUAUUAUUUAUACCUCUAACUAGAGCGUACCUUGAGCAUAUAUGCUGUGACCCGAAAGAUGGUGAACUAUACUUGAUCAGGUUGAAGUCAGGGGAAACCCUGAUGGAAGACCGAAACAGUUCUGACGUGCAAAUCGAUGUCAGAA
rnacentral:rRNA from 1 species